rnacentral:rRNA from 1 species
UGAGCUGCUCCUGAUGUAGCGCGGACGGGUGAGUACCGUGGGUACCUGCCUGUAAACUGGAUACUCCGGGAACCGGGGCUAUCCGAUGCUUGUUUGACCGCAUGGUUCAACUAAAGGUGGCUUCGGCUACCACUUACAAUUGGACCCGCGGCGCAUUAGCUAGUUGGUGAGGUAACGGCUCACCAGGCAACGAUGCGUAGCCGACCUGAGAGGGUGAUCGGCCACACUGGAACUGAGACACGGCCCAGACUCCUACGGGAGGCAGCAGUAGGGAAUCUUCCGCAAUGGACGAAAGUCUGACGGAGCAACGCCGCGUGAGUGAUGAAGGUUUUCGGAUCGUAAAGCUCUGUUGUUAGGGAAGAACAAGUACCGUUCGAAUAGGGCGGUACCUUGACGGUACCUAACCAGAAAGCCACGGCUAACUACGUGCCAGCAGCCGCGGUAUACGUAGGUGCAAGCGUGCCGGAUUUUGGGGGGCCUAAGGA